rnacentral:rRNA from 1 species
GACGAACGCUGGCGGCGUGCUUAACACAUGCAAGUCGAGCGGUAAGGCCCUUUCGGGGGUACACGAGCGGCGAACGGGUGAGUAACACGUGGGUGACCUGCCCUCAGCUCUGGGAUAAGCCUGGGAAACCGGGUCUAAUACUGGAUAUGACUCCAUGACGCAUGUUGUGGGGUGGAAAGCCUUGUGCGGCUGAGGAUGGGCCCGCGGCCUAUCAGCUUGUUGGUGGGGUGANGGCCUACCAAGGCGACGACGGGUAGCCGGCCUGAGAGGGCGACCGGCCACACUGGGACUGAGACACGGCCAGACUCCUACGGGAGGCAGCAGUGGGAAUCUUGCGCAAUGGGCAAAGCCUGACGCAGCGACGCCGCGUGAGGGAUGAC